UGUGUCUACUACUUCUGCAGAACAACAGCUCCAACUGAGACUCAGGUUCCUCUGAACAGGACUACGACCAGGGGAAGUGACAGCAGUGUGCAGACUACAGUCAAGUACCUAUACAUCCAUCAAUACCAGCAGAGUGAG